rnacentral:tRNA from 1 species
GGGCGCGUAGCUCAGCGGUAGAGCAGCGGACUUUUAAUCCGUUGGUCCUGGGUUCGAAUCCCAGCGUGCCCACCA